rnacentral:lncRNA from 10 species
CUUUCUAGCAGGUCUGCACUGAGUUCUUCAGGUGACCACUUUGCUCCUGUUUAUGGUCUUCCCAGGAAAGAAGCAGGACCAAAACCCAUCUUAGAUUAGAAAAGAGUUUAGAACAGGAGGUUCUGCGGAGACCUCAAAAGCCACAUGCCUCAGUCACCUGGCUCUUUUAUCUCAAGCCCUAGCCUCUGAAGUUUAAUUUUUGGCUACGCUUAGAAGAUCUGCCUAGUCUAAGUGACACAAGGAAGCAAAAAUAUUUCCUAGAGUGAGACAGCACUUGAGCGGGAAAUGCCUGAUUCUGGACAUAUGUACAUAUGAUAGCAUCCACGGUCAGAGAAAAUUGGCUGCCAGCUUGACUGAAGUCUGACCAGCGACAGUCACCCACCGCUGGUCACCCCAGUCUUCUCUUUGGAAAUCCUUUUUCAAGUCCCUAGUCUGUUCUGUGUAUGGCAUUCUAUUUAAAAGGCUCAGUGUUCACCUUGCCGGGGCACUGGAUGUAUUGCUCAAAAACGGAUCUCUCUAAGACAGUGGAGGUGAAAACCACAUGAUAUCAGCAUGAGGCAGAUUACCAUAAUAAAUGCAGGGAGAGUGGCAUUUACCAAAGGAUUUUUCUUGUAUCAUUAGUUCCAUGAUAUUCUUGGCUAAAAAUAAAAAUAAAACAAAAUGGUCAGGUAAGUUUGGUAAGACUAAUAUUGUCUUAGAGAUUUACAAUACACAUAAGUUGAGUUUAAGUGUAGGCAAGUCAGCACUCCCCAGACAGGUGUAGGCCAGGGAUCCACCCUUCUCACCUGCUGCCUGGUGCUCCACGGAACACGCUGGCAUCCUGUACUAGGGUAAGAGGAAGCAACCAGCGUCUAGAACUCUAUUCGCUGCAUUUGUGAGCGCUUUCCAUAUGCCAAGGGCUUACCCAUGUUAUUCCAGGUGAUUUCAUCCUCAGAACACUUUGAGUUGAAUGUUACUAACCCCAUUUUAUAGCUGUAAAACUUGAGACUCAAGAGGAUAACAGACUAAUUGAUAGCAGUUUUAGACUAAAAUCUAACUUCAAAGCCUACGGACUUAUGCACAAAACUGUCUCUCACACUAAUACAGCUCAUCUGUUUUCAAGUGUUAUGGUCUAAGAUAUUGAUAUUUUAUUAUUUGAUGAAAAUAUGUUUCUAGUUUUUUAGGUAGCAUAAAAAUCAGUUCUUGACCAGACCCAGUAGCUCAUUCCUAUAAUCCCAGCACUUUCAGAGGCUGAGGUGGGAGGAUCAUUGAGGCCAGGAGUUCGAGACCAACCUGAGCAACAUAGUGAGACCCUGUCUCUAUAAAAAAUAAAAAUAAAACAAAAACUUAGCUUGGUGUGGUGGCAUGUGCCUGUAGUCCCAGCUGCUGAGGUGGGAGGAUCACUUAAGCCCAUGGGUGGGAGGCUUCCGUGAGCUAUGAUUGCACCACUGCACUCCAGCUUGAGUAACACCACUUAAAAAAUCAGUUCUAUAUUUGGAUUUAUUUCCAAUUAACUACAUAUACUAAACUAUAUGUCCAAAUGUAGGGGAUGUGUCUCUUUUGAGGCCUAACUCUGAGGUGCCCAGAAGUGAAUGGCAAGAGGGAAGGUACUCAUCUCUCUGGCCAUCUCUCAAUUUUUUCCAGCAUGCCUGUGUUUCCACUUCGGAAGCCUGUCUACUCAAUCACUGCCUUGCACUGAGACUUCUGGUUCCGCGCUGUAGGCACCACUGAUGCACAAUAAACAGAAAUGAAGGUGACGAUAUUGACGAUGAGGGUCAAGGUAGAAAACUUCAUCCUCUGAAAAGAGACGGUUUCAUUUUUUUCUAAAAUGAAAGCUGUGUAUGUUUCAUCCCCACCUUGCAAUAAGGAAUAGAUUUGGUUCCUAUAACAGAAUUAAAUGACUCUGUUUUGAAAAUGACAUGAUACAGUUUGACAUGAUAGAUUUUCCUUCCCCCACAACUAAAGAUUGCUUGGACUUGGCAACAGCUGAGAGUCGUUUCGGCUGGAAUUUCAUUUUUUUUCCCCUGGCUAGCUGACCCAUCAUCUAUUCUCUAAAAUCUGUUUACUUAUUUAAAAUAGAAAUAACAAAAUUACUCCACUUCAUAAAUAGGGUAAUAAAUAUACCUGGGAGGCUGUAAUAUAGGUGUUAGUCCUCAGUCUUGAAUGACCAAUACUUUGGUUAACUAAAUUAAAUAUACAUCCUCAAAAGGACUUUUUUAAAAAGAAGGAUAAUUUGAAAUAAAAUAACUCAUUAGGCUGACCCUACAUCAAAAAUGGAAAUGCCUCAUUGAAAAUGUUGCUGAUAAUAAACCGAGAUCCUCUUGUCCCUGUGGCAGACAAGGACCUAAGCAGACCACUUCACCCAGCCCGGUCUGUUCAUGUGUGAAGACAAUUUGGUAGCGGCUCCCAGUGCCAAGAGCUACCUUCACACAGGGCCCAGGAGAAGGCUGGGGUCUAGUGUGAGCGUAGUCUAUGGCACUGAGGACGAGGUGUGGAGGGACCUAUGCCGCUGACCUUGACGGACUGUUUUGAAGUUGAAGGUCUGGAAGCCACCUGUCAAUGCAGAAGAGUCAAUGACGUCCACGCCAUAGUCACUCUGGCUCCGUCUGUAAAGGGUGACACCAAUGACCAGGACUGCAACGGCCACGACGGCAGCACCCAAGCCCGAGUACAAAGCAAUGUCGCUGGCAUUCUCAAUGCCUGAAAGACACAAGAGAAAUUAGGUGCGUUGGAUGUGGUUAUUCCUGUAGCAGAUCCAUGAUGGCUCCUGCAAUACAGCACACGAGAUUUAUCUGAGAUAAUAUAAGUCUCAAAGAGGUGUAAUCUUAGAAGGUGUGUGAAAAUGGAGGAUGGCAAGUGCUAACUACAUAGUUAAUCUUCCUACAGAUUAUGUGAAUGCCAUUGCUCCCAUUUCAGAAAAACAAACAUACUUGAACUGGUAUAUAUGUAAGAGGAAGUGAAUUACUAAGGAAUCCAUACAGUAAAUACAGCACAUCCUGAGAAGGGUAAGACAAACAGAAAACGAGGCAACCAGCCAUGGAGAUGGAAUCCCAUAGAAGGCCAGGUAACAAGCGCCCCAGGAAGCACCCUCAGCACAGGAGGUGGUGUUGAUACAAAGUGCCCUGCCAAAAUAUUUAAUUGCAUGCUGAAAUAUGAUGAAACAGAAGUUAUUGUUAAAGUUGUUUAUAUAUGUUGUCAUCAAGAAGCAAACAUUUUUUUUCCUUUAAUUUGAUGCAUCAGAAAAUAGCUUUUAAGUAGUUAGCCAUGGCCAACCAUGCUAAGCAAUUUCAAUUAUAUUUGCAGUCUUUAGAAUCUCGUAAUAUCUCUGCCUUUCCAAUUUCCCAACCUCGAAAAUCUCAAUUUGCUAUUGUAGUUAUUGUUUUACUGUUGUAAUUAAUGACAAUAGUAGCUAUAUCUUAAAAAGCACUUAGAAGGCACUGUUCUAGGACUUUACAUUUAUUAACUCAUUUUAAUCUUCCAACAACCUUCUAAAAAUAUCUUCACUGAGAUGUGUAAACUGAGGUGAGAGAAUUACUUGCCUUUCUCAAAGCCUCAUGAUUGGUAAGUAGUCCAACUGGGACUCAAUCCCAUGCAGUCUGGCUCCAGAAUCAAUGCUUUUGGUCACUCUCUAUCCAGUUGUUGACCUCUGUCUUCCUGAUCACACUGUGUGACUACUCUCAGGAACCACAGUAACUCAGUAACUGAGCACUAACCUUAUGCUGACUUCUCUUUCUCUAAGAACUACACAGAUGAUCACAUUCUCAUCCUCAUAAAGAAAAUCUAUGAGGUAGGUAUUAUAUAUUAAUAUCUUAUUUUACUGAUGAUGACGCAUUGUCAAGUAAGUUAGUAACUUGGAAAAUGGCAAAGUCAGGCUUUGAACACAUGUCUGUCUUCACUCCCAAGCUGCUUAUGACACGGUGUCUCUUCCUUGCGUCUCCUCUCUGCUCUCUCCAUACCGGCACCUGGGUUAACUUGCCCUGCUGGAGGAAGUCACUAACUAUAGCACUGGCAUCAUCAAAAAACUGAUGCUAUGCAACCUCACCCAGGCUUUCCUUGCAACUCAGUAAUUAUUAUAUUCACAUUCUAUGGCCAAAUUGUGCUUUCCUCACAACAGCUGCUCUGAACUUUGUUCCUUUCCUUCAAGACCCCUACUCCUCACCUGCCCUCUUUCUUGUUGAAAAUAUGGAGACCAUCCUAUGUGAGUUCACUCCCCUGCAACUCAAAAUUCCUCUGUUCCUUCACCCAAUUUUCUUUUCUUUUUUUUUUCUGUUCCCUGAAGAGCUGCCCCAUGAGGACCUGGCCUCAUUCAUUAUUCUCUUUUGGUCUUGCAUCUUCAAAUUUUUCCUCCACAGCUGGGCCUUGCCCCCUGCCUACAAACACAGUCUAGUCUCUCUAAUCACCUCUCCCCAAAUCCUUCCCUCAACUUACUCUCUCACAAACUUCUCAAACAUGCCGCCUUUUUAACAUCUACUGAUUUCUCAGCUCUUUUUCUACAAGAACUUCAAGCAUUUUUUAACAUUAAAUAUUUCUUAAUACUUGUUCCAUAAUCUCCCCAAUCAGUUAACACUGUACUGUUAACAUAAAAAAGAACAAAUAGAAGUAAUACAUAUAUAAGAUUAGAAAAUGUUCUAGGAAGUAUAAACAGGUACAUAUACUAUGCAAAAAGCAAGCUUGUCUUCCAACUACCACCUCUCCAAAAGUAGUAACUAUUGAUAGUACCUUGUGUGCCCUUUCAGAAAAAAAAAUAUGUAACUGUCCUCCAUUUGUUUUUCUUUUCCUUUCUCUACACUAAAGGCUCUAUAUUAUAUUUCCUUUCCUAUACUUUCCUUUAAGAAAAUGUACGCUAUCUUAUCAAUCACUUAUCAGAACAUAAUAUGCCUACUUCAUUCUUUUUUUUGUUUGUUUUUUUGAGACAGAGUUUUGCUCUUGUUGCCCAGGGUAGAGUGCAAUAGCACAAUCUUGGCACACCGCAACUUCCAUCUCCUGGGUUCAAGUGAUUCUCCUGCCUCAGCCUCCCGAGCAGCUGGAAUUACAGGCAUGCGCCACCACACUCGGCUAAUUUUGUAUUUUUAGUUGAGACUGGGCUUCUCCAUGUUGGUCAGGCUGGUCUCAAACUCCCGACCUCAGGUGAUUUGCCAGCCUUGGCCUCCCAAAGUGCUGGGAUUACAGGCGUGAGCCACUGCGCCUGGCCGGCUUCAUUCCUUUUUCAUUUGCCUAGCCCAUACUCAGGUUGCAUGAUCACUUAUUUAACUACCUCCCUACUGCUACAUCAUGUGAUUGUUUCCAUACACUGUAAAGUCUGUAUGUGCCUAAACCACUGUUCUCUUGAAGGUCGUUUGCAACUGCAUCAACUAUACCAUUCUUCAUCUUAUUCUUUACCACUGCUCUGCAGCAAUAGACAAGAAUAGCAAACUUCCUCUUAGAAAAAAACUGCCCCUUAAAUUUGAUUCUCUUGAAGUUUGACCUGUUCUUUACUGAUUGUUUAGUAACUACCCUUCAUUCUCCUAGUUCUAAAUAGGCAGGCUUUAAAGUUCAGUUCUUGGCCCUUUUUCCUCUCUCUGUUCUCAUCUAAUUGGAUAAUCACUCACAUACAGACAGUGCCAACGAUUUCCUUGAUCCUGAACAGUCUUAGAUUAACAUCUCCUGCCUCAUCUUCUCUCUGAAGAUCUGAUGCCAUAUUUCCUUCCUGCUCGCUGGGCAAAACCACCUGCAUCUUGUGCUCACAUCUCACAUUUGUCAUCUGAUUUACAGAUUCAUCAUUAUCACUCAUUCUUACCUCUUCAAAAUAUUUUCUUCUCUUGAAUUAUCUUUUCUGGUAAUGACACCACCAGGGACAUGGCUCAAGAUCAAAGAGUCAUCUCUGAAUCUGUUUCCAUUCACUCCCUCCUCAAACCAUUCUCAUAUUUGAGUGAUUGUGUCUAGUGCCUCUCUCAUCUCAAUUUCAAAAGGAGACAUCCCAGUGGAUAUCCACAUGGACCAGUCCCCUCCACCCACACCCCCAGUCUUUGAUUACUUUGAACCAUUUUACCUGUGGAUGACUUCCCAAACCCUGUUCUAGUACAGUCACCCUGACACCUUUCAUGACUCUGCAGGAUGGACUGGAUCCACUCUGGGUGGACUUCUUUCACUGCUCAAGACACUUCACGUUCUGCUCACACUACAGUUCAUGCUGUUUACCCACUUCUCAUCUAGGUGAACCCUAUUCUUUGGUCAAACCUGACUACUUAUUUUUUUCAAGUAGACCAUGUACUUUUGCAGACUUUUAUUUUUGGCUCCAACUUUUCACCCUCACUGAGAGGCUCUCUCCUCCAAUAUCUGCUUCAAUUCCAACCAUCCUUCCAAGGUUGGCAACAAAGGUCGUCUAUUUUAUAAAAUAUUUUUGAUAGUGCCCAUUCAGACAUGUUUACAGCUCCUUUUAGUAAGCUAGCCAGAUUGAACAAAUGAAAGUUUGACACACAGUUAACUCUAAAUUUCAGAUAAAAAAUGAGUAGCUUUAGCACAAGUAUUUCCCAUGCGAUAUGUGGGGCAUAUUUAUCCUAAACUUUAUUUGAUGUUUCUUUGAAAAUUGAAUGUAAUUGGAGGGUCAUCUUUGAACUGUAAAAGAACUAUGCUUUUGCCAAUCAGAUGGGGAGACAAAAUUGAAACAGAAGAGAGAGUCAAAAAGAGCAGAAUUUGAACUCCAGCUCUAGAAAAAACUACUUUACUUCAUGUCUUAUUCUGAAAACUGAAGAUAUAAACUCUACAGAUUUUUAGUUACUGAGAGGUAGAGAGAUUCAGCUUGUAGAUUCACAUUUUUAACAAGCACCCAAGUUAUUCUGGUGCUAAAGAACACACUAGUAAUAGUUUAUCACUUACUUGUGUCUGUGCUUAUGUCUGAGGUAUUUAAUUAACAAACUCCCAUCAUGUCCAUUAAGGGCAAAGUCAGCAAAAUCAUUGAAAAUGGUAGUAAGAAAAGAUAUAUACUUAUGCUGGAAUAAACAUUAGAUCAUAAAAAAUAGAAAAUAGUAAAAAAAAAAUACAAAUGUUGCACAUAUAUAUGGAUUGAAUUGAUUCACAGUAGGAAUGAUUCUGAAGGAUGAAGCAAGUCAGGCAAUUUUCGGAAAGUGCUAUAUUUAUGUAAUUGAAAAUGAUCAGCAGGAGAUGAGGAAAAAUGGACAAAAAAUAGGAAAAAAAGAGUUUGAGACAGUGGUUAGAGCAUCAGCUUCAAUGCCAGUAGCCUAAUGUUAGCUUAGGAGAGCCUAGAAAUCUUUUGAGAAUUGAAAGGUAUGACCAAAGACACAGACAGUUUUGUGGAUUCAAGAUCCUAAUCAAGUCUCCAUAGCCUAAAAGAGCAUGCUAAAUUGCCAGUACAGCCCCCACAUCCUCUGAGGAAUUCUGUACCUGGUGAAGAUCAUAAAGAAUAUGGAUCAACAUGAUCUCACUCUGAAUGAACCCUCUGCAUUUUGGGGAAAGGUGCAGAAUGGAAUUUUCUUCAGUGAGAAGAGCAUACCUACUUUUCAGACUUUAAGGAUGCAUUCAGGCCAUUGUUUGGUGGAAAUGAUUUAAAGACACAUGCAUUUUGGGCUUUAACCUAGUGUCUGGCACAGAGUAGAUGAUUGUUACAAGAAGUUUCCUUACUUUUCUCAAAUCACUUAUCUUCUUUCUGCCUUGUAUUAAAAUUGUAGGGAAGAUGCAUUUCUUGUUUCAUGGAGCCAAGAUUAUUUGUAUGGGACAAUUGUACAAUAAAUGUCUUCUACAUGAAUGAAUAAAAUUGACUAUAUUGAAGCAAAAUCUUGAUUUUCUUUCUUUUUGAAAUGGAGUCUCACUCUGUCGUCCAGGCUGGAGUACAGUGGCGCAAUGUUGACUCAAUGUAACCUCUGCCUCCUGGGUUCAAGCGAUUCUUCUGCCUCAGCCUCCCGAGUAGCUGGGACAGCAGGCACUUGCCACCACACCUGGCUAAUUUUUGUAUUUUUAGUAGAGAUGGGGUUUCACCAUAUUGACCAGGCUGGUCUCGAACUCCUGACCUUGUGAUCCACCCACCUUGGCCUCCCAAAGUGCUAGGAUUACAGGCAUGGCCAAUUUUCUUUUUCUUUAACACCAAAAGGUCCAGUGAGAAGUUAGCAGGAAGAAUGAAAACCACAGCACAACAAAUAUUAAUUGAAUAUCUACAUGCUAGACUCUGGUAAAUUGAACAGGUGUGAUGAUGAAUAAAACUCUAUACUGUAUGUCAGAUGGCAGGGACUAUGUCUAUCAGAUAGGGAAUCCAGACCAGAAUAAAGGCAAUGAAAAUAUAGAACAAAAACGGGAUAGUUUGAUACGGAGGCAACUUACAAGAGCAACUAACUCACACUUAGGGUGGUAGGUUGAAGGCCUUGCAGACAUGAAAUCUAAGUUGAAAACUGAAGGAAGAAUAAGUUAAGCAGGUUAAGUGUUAGGAUGAGGGAAAGAGACUUAGUCAGAAGUAACAGAACACAUAAGGGAAACUAUAGGCCAACAUGAGCACCAGGCAUUCAAACUGAGGGGCUUUGUUUUGCUGAGGAAUACAGCAAUGGUGAGAGGGUAGGAAGGAAAAUACUUAACGGUAAUAAAGAAAAGAAAGCUGGGGCCAGCGCGGUGGCUCAUGUCUGUAAUCCCAGCACUUUGGGAGGUUAAGGCAGGCGGAUCACCUGAGGUCAGGAGUUCAAGACGGGCCUGGGCAACGUGGUGAAACCCCGUCUUUAU